ACGCUCGACACCUACGGGGGGCAGCAGUUGGGGUAAGUAAUUGGACAAUGGAGGAAACGUACUGAUCCAGUGACGCCGCGUGAAGGAAGAAGGUCUUCGGAUUGUAAACUUAUUUUGUCAGGGAAGAAAAAUGACUGUACCUGAAGAAAAAAGCACCGGCUAACUACGUGUCAGCAGCCGCGGUAAUCUGAGCGGGCUGGCAAGG
rnacentral:rRNA from 1 species